UACGUAGGUGGCAAGCGUUGUCCGGAAUUACUGGGCGUAAAGGGCGCGUAGGCGGCCUGCUAAGUCAUACGUGAAAUCCCUCGGCUCAACCGGGGAACUGCGUGUGAUACUGGCGGGCUUGAAUUCGGGAGAGGGAUGCGGAAUUCCAGGUGUAGCGGUGAAAUGCGUAGAUAUCUGGAGGAAUACCGGUGGCGAAGGCGGCAUCCUGGACCAUUACUGACGCUGAGGCGCGAAAGCUAGGGGAGCAAACGGG
rnacentral:rRNA from 1 species